UACGGAGGGAGCUAGCGUUAUUCGGAAUUACUGGGCGUAAAGCGCACGUAGGCGGCUUUGUAAGUUAGAGGUGAAAUCCUGGAGCUCAACUCCGGAACUGCCUUUAAGACUGCAUCGCUCGAAUCCGGGAGAGGUGAGUGGAAUUCCGAGUGUAGAGGUGAAAUUCGUAGAUAUUCGCAAGAACACCAGUGGCGAAGGCGGCUCACUGGACCGGCACUGACGCUGAGGUGCGAAAGCGUGGGGAGCAAACAGG
rnacentral:rRNA from 1 species